rnacentral:tRNA from 1 species
GGUGGCAUGGUGCAAUGGUAGCAUAUCCUCAUCUCAGAUGAAGAAGAUUCUGGUUCAAAUCCAGAUGCCGCCA